GCGGCGGCUGAAGAGACAGAUCCCGGUCCCGCCGACUCGCGAGCGGCGUCUCCGGCAGCGGGGGGAGUGGGCGGGCGGGUCCCACAAACUGCAAGGAAAAGAAAAACCCUCAACAGGAAUUACCUUUAUACCUGAUGCCCCCAACAUAAUCUCUCUCCAAGGGAAACGUGUUUUUAUUGCCUUGCGGCUGAAAAUGUAUUCUCGAUUCUCCCCCUUCUCUCUUUUGUUGUGCAUUUUUUGGAUGUGGUAAAACUGGCAGUUUAUCUGAUUAUCUGGUUUUCAGAACUUUGGGCGAUGUCUCUGAGUGUCAUCAGUUGCUCUCUAGGUUUGACAUAGAUAAUUAAGCAACUACAAAGCGUGAUAAAGCUUUUGAGAGGGAGGAAAAUGUAUUUUGGAAGGAGGGAGAGACGCAAAGAG
rnacentral:lncRNA from 1 species